GACGAACGCUGGCGGCGUGCCUAAUACAUGCAAGUAGAACGCUGAAGAGAGGAGCUUCCUCUUCUUGGAUGAGUUGCGAACGGGUGAGUAACGCGUAGGUAACCUGCCUUGUAGCGGGGGAUAACUAUUGGAAACGAUAGCUAAUACCGCAUAACAAUGGAUGACACAUGUCAUUUAUUUGAAAGGGGCAAUUGCUCCACUACAAGAUGGACCUGCGUUGUAUUAGCUAGUAGGUGAGGUAAUGGCUCACCUAGGCGACGAUACAUAGCCGACCUGAGAGGGUGAGCGGCCACACUGGGACGGAGACACGGCCCAGACUCCUACGGGAGGCAGCAGUAGGGAAUCUUCGGCAAUGGGGGCAACCCUGACCGAGCAACGCCGCGUGAGUGAAGAAGGUUUUCGGAUCGUAAAGCUCUGUUGUAAGUCAAGAACGGGUGUGAGAGUGGAAAGUUCACACUGUGACGGUAGCUUACCAGAAAGGGACGGCUAACUACGUG
rnacentral:rRNA from 1 species